AGCAGAUGGUUCGUGGUCGCUUUACAUUUGUUGUAAAGAGGAAAGUCCGAACUUUACUCUCCUUCGGGAGAAAAACGGUAGUGGGCAACUCCCACAGUCCGCGAGGAUAGAGGUGCGAGCAGAGACGAUUUUUUCUGAAAAGAAAAAAUGUUCCUUAACAAAGGAAUAGCUCUUACUAUAACCAAGGUAAGAGGUGAAACGGCUAAAUCCUUACCGGAAAGCAAGAUAGCAGUUGUUAUCGCUUGACCAUAUAGAGUAAUUUAUAUGGCAGAGAAAUGACCACAAUGUUUACUUGUAAACAUACAGAAUUCGGUGUAUAGCCAUCUGUUUUGU
rnacentral:RNase_P_RNA from 1 species